rnacentral:rRNA from 1 species
UACGGAGGGUGCAAGCGUUAUCCGGAUUUACUGGGUUUAAAGGGUGUGUAGGCGGGCUUUUAAGUCAGUGGUGAAAUCUCCGGGCUCAACCUGGAAACUGCCAUUGAUACUAUUAGUCUUGAAUUUUGUUGAGGUAGGCGGAAUAAGUCAUGUAGCGGUGAAAUGCAUAGAUAUGACUUAGAACACCAAUUGCGAAAGGCAGCUUGCUAAACAAAUAUUGACGCUGAGGCAACGAAAAGCGUGGGGGAUCAAACAGG